GUGUGUGUGUGUGUGUGUGUGUGUGUGUGCGCGUGUGUGCUGGACUCCUCUCUUUGGGGCUCCUCCUGGGCUGGGGGGCUGGGUGAGGAGGCCUUAGAGGUUGGCGGGCUUUCGCCCUGGGCUCGCGGUGCCCCUGCCUUGGCCAGGCCUCUGCUUUCUGGCGGGAUGCCCAAAGCGCAGGUCGGUCCCUGUUAUUCCGCUGCUCCAAGAACCCUGCUGGCUCUGCAGAACUUUCGGGAUCAAAUACAAGCUCUUGUUCGAGGCAGGUCAGAGGAAUUCCCUCCCUCCCUGGAAGAGGAUACUGAGCAACUCUGGGCAUAUAUCCAAGACGUGAUGGAGAACUUCCCAAGAUUUGUCAAGCCUCAUGGCUACUACCCUCUCCCAGGGAUAUUGCCAGAGGAAACUGAAAAAGCAGUGCCAAGGAUUUUGAAGUCCUGGCAACUCUGUUAUAUCCUCAUAUUCCAGUUGAAGAAACUGAGGCAGACAGAAGCAAAGUAACUUGUACAGAAUUUAACAGCUACUAAGAACCUGAAGGUGAUUUGAACUCAAGUCUUCUGGUCCAGCAUUUUAUCCACUGCACUGCCUGGUUAUAUGAUUUAUUAAUAAAAGUGAAUGAAGAGU